AUUGAACGCUGGCGGCAUGCUUUACACAUGCAAGUCGAACGGAUUUUGGAGCUUGCUCCAAAGUUAGUGGCGAACGGGUGAGUAAUAUAUCGGAACGUACCCGGCAAUGGGGGAUAACGUAGCGAAAGUUACGCUAAUACCGCAUAUGCCCUGAGGGGGAAAGCAGGGGACCAGCAAUGGCCUUGCGUUGUCGGAGCGGCUGAUAUCGGAUUAGCUAGUUGGUGAGGUAAAGGCUCACCAAGGCGACGAUCCGUAGCGGGUCUGAGAGGAUGAUCCGCCACACUGGGACUGAGACACGGCCCAGACUCCUACGGGAGGCAGCAGUGGGGAAUUUUGGACAAUGGGGGAAACCCUGAUCCAGCCAUGCCGCGUGAGUGAAGAAGGCCUUAUGGUUGUAAAGCACUUUAAGCGAGGAGGAGGCUCUUUUGGUUAAUACCCAAGAUGAGUGGACGUUACUCGCAGAAUAAGCACCGGCUAACUCUGUGCCAGCAGCCGCCGUAA
rnacentral:rRNA from 1 species